AGAAAAAGAUAAGGGAAAGGAAAGGUAUGAUUGAUUUGAUCAUCCUCCUCAAAUGAUAGUCUGAUAAAUUUUUUCUCUGUUUCUUUCUUUUGUUCCUCUCAUUUGCUUCAAUGAACAUUUCCCAUUAUUUUCUUUUUUUAGAAGAAAUUAUAGUUUCGUCAUAUAAAGAGCUCUCUUCUUUCUUGAUAUCUUGCUAUCUCUGCCAAGAAGAGAUCCUCUCCUAGUUGCAGAGAAAGAUAAAUAUUGGGUUUUGCUUGAAGAUCUUGUUUCUUGUUAAUUUGAAGCCUUGGCCUUCUGCUGGUUAUUACUAAUUAUAUUAUAUAAAUAACUCAAUAAUGCAUGUUAAUCUUACAAAUCUUCAAAAUCACAAGAAUAUGAUUGUAUUCUGUUCGAUAAUAACUUUCAAUAUACCAUUUAGUAUUUUAAAUUUAAUUAAAAUAUUAUUUUUUUAACUUAUCAUAAUUAAUUUUUAUCAAAUAUUUUUAUUUUAAAUUAUUUUAUAAAUAAUUAAUUAUUAAAAAAAUAAUUAAUAACUAUUAAAAUAACUAAUCUUUACCAGUAAUAUUACCGAGCAAGGUUUAUUUGUAUUAAUCAACAUACAUACAUCUAGCUCGGAGGCUUAAUGCUACGCUUUUUCUCUAAUUAAGUAACAAAUCUAAAUAAUCAUCUUUUAAACUAAUUAAUGUUCAUUUGGUACGUAAUUUAAAUUAUCAUUAUUAUCAUUAGUAUGAUGAACGAGCAUAUAUUUUUUGUUAAUUACUUUGGGGUUCAUAGUUGAAGUCUCAUAACUAUAUUUAAUUAUCAAAUUCAUUUUUUUUAUUGCCUGUUUAGUGUUUCUUGCUGAAGAUUGUAG
rnacentral:misc_RNA from 1 species